AGGUGGGAGGCUUUGAAACCAGGACGCCAGUUUUGGCGGAGCCAUCCUUGGGAUACCACCCUUGUAGUACUGGGACUCUAACCAUAGGCCAUGAAUCUGGUCUUGGGACACUGUCAGGUGGGCAGUUUGACUGGGGCGGUCGCCUCCCAAAAGGUAACGGAGGCGCUCAAAGGUUCUCUCAGUACGGUCGGAAAUCGUACGUAGAGUGUAAAGGCAAAAGAGAGCUUGAUUGCAAGACAUACAGGUCGAGCAAGGAUGAAAAUCGGACUUAGUGAUCCGGUGGUUCUGCGUGGAAGGGCCAUCGCUCAACGGAUAAAAGCUACCCUGGGGAUAACAGGCUUAUCUCCCCCAAGAGUCCACAUCGACGGGGAGGUUUGGCACCUCGAUGUCGGCUCAUCACAUCCUGGGGCUGUAGUAGGUCCCAAGGGUUGGGCUGUUCGCCCAUUAAAGUGGUACGCGAGCUGGGUUCAGAACGUCGUGAGACAGUUCGGUCCCUAUCCGUCGCAGGCGUAGGAAAUUUGAGAAGACCUGUCCUUAGUACGAGAGGACCGGGAUGGACGUACCUCUGGUGUACCAGUUGUUCUGCCAAGGGCAUGGCUGGGUAGCUAUGUACGGAAUGGAUAAGCGCUGAAAGCAUCU
rnacentral:rRNA from 1 species